AACACCAGUUGUAACUUUCGAAAAAUCAAUUUUUUUUUUUGUGCAUUUUCUUAAAGUACACAUAUUUAGAAAUGUGUCUGUAAAUUUCAAAGUUGAUCCGGUGAAAAAUAAAUGAGAUAUACAGAACACUGCAUCGGCGCGUCCCGUGGCUUCAUACAAGGUGGCCAGCCAUAACUGACCCUAACGACAGAUGGCCUUUUCCUAUGAUUUAGAAACGGCAACCACUGCGGAAGAGUUAUUAUAUGGUCCAAGAAUCGAUGACUCUUUGUAACUUGGAAACAAAAUUUCUUCUGAACAAAAAAAAACGAAGUAUACUUGCAGAAUGCUGGUCACCGCAAUUCGCCUUUUUUCUUAAGACGCCACUUCAAUGGCUCAUAUCUCCAAAAGUUUUUGUUAAAAAAAUUUUUUUUUUCUUUUAAAUUACAGCUUUUUACAUGUACUUUUAACUAAUAAAUAGUAUUCUUUAAAAA